CCUACGGGCGGCAGCAGUGGGGAAUAUUGGGCAAUGGGCGCAAGCCUGACCCAGCAACGCCGCGUGAAGGAAGAAGGCUUUCGGGUUGUAAACUUCUUUUCUCAGGGACGAAGCAAGUGACGGUACCUGACGAAUAAGCCACGGCUAACUCCGUGCCAGCAGCCGCGGUAAUACGUAGGUGGCAAGCGUUAUCCGGAUUUACUGGGUGUAAAGGGCGUGUAGGCGGGACUGCAAGUCAGAUGUGAAAACCACGGGCUCAACCUGUGGCCUGCAUUUGAAACUGUAGUUCUUGAGUACUGGAGAGGCAGACGGAAUUCCGAGUGUAGCGGUGAAAUGCGUAGAUAUUAGGAGGAACACCAGUGGCGAAGGCAGCUUACCAAGCUACUUCUGACGUUGAGGCACGAAAGCGUGGGGAGCAAACAGGAUUAGAUACCCUUGUAGUC
rnacentral:rRNA from 1 species